UGGGGAAUCUUGGACAAUGGGACGAAAGCCUGAUCCAGCCAUGCCGCGUGUGUGAAGAAGGUCUUCGGAUUGUAAAGCACUUUAAGUUGGGAGGAAGGGCAGUAACCUAAUACGUUUCUGUCUUGACGUUACCGACAGAAUAAGCACCGGCUAACUCUGUGCCAGCAGCCGCGGUAAUACAGAGGGUGCAAGCGUUAAUCGGAAUUACUGGGCGUAAAGCGCGCGUAGGUGGUUUGUUAAGUUGGAUGUGAAAUCCCCGGGCUCAACCUGGGAACUGCAUUCAAAACUGACAGGCUAGAGUAUGGUAGAGGGUGGUGGAAUUUCCUGUGUAGCGGUGAAAUGCGUAGAUAUAGGAAGGAACACCAGUGGCGAAGGCGACCACCUGGACUGAUACUGACACUGAGGUGCGAAAGCGUGGGGAGCAAACAGGAUUAGAUACCCCCGUAGUCCCUGAGCGGGCUGGCAAGGCGCAU
rnacentral:rRNA from 1 species